rfam:Trichoderma gamsii strain T6085 Scaffolds0007.1, whole genome shotgun sequence.
GCCCGCUUGGCUAAGCGGUAUAGCGUGUCACUAGUACUUCUUUGGCAUGACAAGGUGAUCAGUUCGACUCUGAUAGUGGGCA